GGUCUGCGAAAGUGGAAACAAAAAAUGCUUUGGGCCGCGAAAGUGAAACUCCAAUAUUUGUUCCUCCUCCUCUGGAAAAUCUGGCACACUUAUUUUAUCAAAAAAUCUGUAAAACUGCAGAAGAUCCCCAGACGACUACCAAAUAUUUUACAUGCAUAGAAGAGUUUGCAGACAAAUAUUCUUUCAUUUUCUGCUGUAUAGAGAAGGUGGUGUCGAUGACUGCAUGUUUAGGAGGACAAAAAUAAUCUCCCUUUCCUGUUUCUGAAGUCUUAAAGCCAUGUUGCAAAAAUCACAUCUUUUAGAAAGCACUGUAAUGUUUGUGAUUUUUUUUUUUUUUUUUAAUAUAUAUUUAUAUAUAAUUGUGUGGUGUAAAAAGGAAAAGAAAAUAAAAGAAAAAUAAAUUAGUUUUGGUGGUGGGUCCGUGGUGGGACCCACUACCACUUUAAGUGGCAAAAGGCUACCAUUUGCCUCACAAAUUCUCUCUCUCCCGUAAGUCUCUCUCUCUCUCCUCCUAUUUCUAGAGUUUUUCUUUUUCUUUUGGUUUCAAUCUUUAAACUUAGAUUUCUCCCUCAAUUUUUGGUAUUUUUGGGAGCCGUUUGUGGCAAAAGGGAGAGCACGGCAAGAUCUACUCGUUGAUGUAAGCAAUUCAUCAUUUGGUGCAUCCUAGGAAUUCCGAAAAUUUGGACCCAUUUGAGGAUUUUCUACAAAAUUGAGUUCAUGGAUUCAGUUGUUUGAUCUUAUGAACACAUCAUUUAUCGAUUGAUCAUUGGCGAUUAGGGUUUUCUGAUUACUAAGUUACCAAGUGCGGGCAUUUUGGAGUUGCUAGUGAUAUGUACCAACUACUUCCUUGGAGCAGAAGAGCCUAGCUGAGUGAAAUGACUGUAGAGGGUUCUCUAUUCUUGGUGUGAUAUUUUUGUAAUGCAGCCUUCUUAGUCUAAAUUCUGGGAAACAAACUGAAAAGGUUAUUUUAUUUAAAAUGUUCUUCAGGCUCUAAAGAAGUUGUGUGGUUCUCAUUAUAAUAGAGGUAAACAUUCUUUGACCUA